rnacentral:rRNA from 1 species
AACGAACGCUGGCGGCAGGCUUAACACAUGCAAGUCGAACGGGAUCUUCGGAUCUAGUGGCAGACGGGUGAGGAACACGUGGGAACAUCCCUUUCAGUUCGGAAUAACGUUGGGAAACUAACGCUAAUACCGGAUACGUCCUUCGGGAGAAAGAUUUAUCGCUGAAAGAUUGGCCCGCGUCUGAUUAGCUAGUUGGUGAGGUAAUGGCUCACCAAGGCUACGAUCAGUAGCUGAUCUGAGAGGAUGAUCAGCCACACUGGGACUGAGACGCGGCCCAAACUCCUACGGGAGGCAGCAGUGGGGAAUAUUGGACAAUGGGCGCAAGCCUGAUCCAGCCAUGCCGCGUGAGUGAUGACGGCCUUCGGGUUGUAAAGCUCUUUUGUCCGGGAAGAUAAUGACUGUACCGGAAGAAUAAGCCCCGGCAAACUUCGUGCCAGCCGCCGCGGUAA